rnacentral:rRNA from 1 species
AUUGAGUGUUAGGCAAAUCCGGCACUCUUAAGAUUGAGCUGUGAUGGGGAGAGGAAAUUGUUUCCUCGAGUCGUUGAUUUCACACUGCCGAGAAAAGCCUCUAGAUAGAUAAUAGGUGCCCGUACCGCAAACCGACACAGGUAGUCAAGAUGAGAAUUCUAAGGUGAGCGAGCGAACUCUCGUUAAGGAACUCGGCAAAAUGACCCCGUAACUUCGGGAGAAGGGGUGCUCUUUAGGGUGCAAGCCCAGAAGAGCCGCAGUGAAUAGGCCCAAGCGACUGUUUAUCAAAAACACAGGUCUCUGCUAAACCGUAAGGUGAUGUAUAGGGGCUGACGCCUGCCCGGUGCUGGAAGGUUAAGAGGAGUGGUUAGCUUCUGCGAAGCUACGAAUCGAAGCCCC